CGGUGACCUCAUAGGUGGCCCACAUCUCUGACAUGGCCAUGCCCCCCAUGAUGUACACUAUAAGUCGUGGCCCGCCCGGGUCUCUACGCCGGCCUUGUUCUUGUGCCAGUGACCGAAGCGGGCACUGACAGUGGCCUGGGAGCUGGCUGCAGUGGUGGGGUCGGUAUGAAGGGCCACAGCUUCCUGUCCAGCCGGUCCUCCACGGCAUCCUCCAUCACGUCCUUGACAACUGGGGUCCAGCGGAACAGCUGAUAGGUGGGCUCCAUGCGCUACCUCGGCUCCAGCAGGCUGGAGGCCCCUGAGCUCCCGGGGUUGGUGACAGUGCCUCCCAGCUGCUCCAGGUUGCGGAUGAGGCUGUUUUGCACCUGCACAUUGGCAUGCUGGAUCAGCUUGGCCGGGUUUUCCUCACUCAUGCCAUUCCGAAGGGGGAUAUAGAGCAACAGGACCCGGAUCUUGUCAUAGGAAGGCACCGCCGCGUCCAGCAGCACCUGCAAGAUCAGCUUCAUCGAGUCCUUGAUCUUCUCCCGCUCUGCGUCGGAGCCCUUGGCCAGGUCCUGCUCCACACUACAUGGCUUCUCUACCGAACCCUUGAAGUGCUUCAUGCAAUCAUCCGCUAGAUGCAGGGACAUGGAUGAAUCUGGAAAACAUCAUCCUCAGCAAACUGACACAAGAACAGAAAAUGAAACACCGCAUAUUCUCACUCAUAGAUACUGCUUCUGACCAUCCAAGGGCAAGCACACUCUUCCUGAGAAAGUAUCAAAUGAGUGUGCAAGGAAAGAGGAGAAGCUUUCACCUAUAUUCCAUACGUCCGUGGCAUCUUGAUAGAAAAUACAGCUCGUGUUCCACCAUAUUGCUAGAUAACAGCACAGUCAGUGAGCCUGAACUCUGCCACACAUUAGAAAGUGUGACUUUGGCAAUAUAUUACAACAUAAAGCACAGAUAUGCAAAUAGAUCUCUGGCUAUUUUUGAUGAGACAAUACAUCUACUUUCACAAGAAAAGAUUCCAGGGAAAUCCUUUGAGGAUGAUCCCACACACCACUGCAUUUUCAGAUAUUUCUGUACUCUUUUUUUCUAGUCACAAAACUAACAGCUCCAUGUGCGAUCGUAGCUUUGGUGUACAUUGAACACCUUUUAACUAACGCUAACAUCGAUCUUUGUCCUACUAAUUGGAAAAAAAUUGUCCUCGGAGCCAUGCUUCUGGUCUCCAAGGUUUGGAGAAAUCAUGUUCUGUGGAGUGUGGAUGACAGCCAGAAUCCCAAGAAUGUUGCAGUUGAGACCAUGAGUAAGAUGGAGAAGAGUUUUUUGGAGCUACUUGAAUUUAAUAUUCAUGUGUCUGCCAGUGUUUAUAGGAAAUAUUACUCUGACCUGCGUGCCUUGGCAUACGACCAUGACCUGUAUUUUUCAUUUCGUCUUUUUCACAAAGAUAAAGCAGAGAAAUUGAAGGCUAUGUCACGGCCGUGUGAAUACAAAGAUCUGCAUCAAGAUGUCACCGCUAUGACAAGGGCCAUCAGCAUGGAUUUCAUCGGCAUUUAGCAUACUAAUGCCAUCUUACCUUAAAGAGAGAAAUUAGCAUUAUAAGGUCCUGGACUUGUCAACUAUAAGGACUACAAAAUGUCACUUCUCCUGCUGAAAAAGACCAGCAAAAUUAGGAUUUUCUUUUUUCAUGUUUUUUCAAAAAAUUUUUAUCGUUGUUUUUGUUGCUGUUGUUGUUGUUGUUGAUUAGGAUUUUCAUAGAGCAGAGACUUCUUCAAAUAACCAUACUGUGAAGCUAGGCGAUGGUGGCAUGAACAGUGGGUGCCAGGUGCUACCUGCCCUUCUUGUUCCACUGAGUCCAGAUGGCAUUCCUAGGGCACCAUCUUCUUGAACAACUCUUGGGGAGGAAGACUGUCACAUGGACACAGCACAUCCCAGUCCAGAGUCCACAGUCACCCGCAGCCCCAAGCAGGUGACAGUCUGAGCUGAGCUGGAAUUCAAAAAACUUUAGAAUUGGCUCCAGAUUUGUGAGAGUACCUGGGUUUGGAUCUCUGUCCAUGGAGGCACUGAAUGCAUGAUGGCUGGAAACAACAACUGUGGGAAGAGAGAAUGGCAUGGGGACAAGGCUGUCAUUACUCCAAGUACCAUGGGAGCGCAGGCCUGUUCAUCUAGUCUUUGGAGGGAAUCUGUGCAUGUGAAAUGAGGCUCCCACAUCAUGGUUAUAAAUGGAGAGAUGAAAUCAGCCCAUCUUCCCCCAGGCCCACAAUGGUCAUGCCAAAACACAGAGUCUUGCUGUGUGGCCAGGCUGGAGCGCAGUGGUGAGAUCUCGGCUCUCUGCAACCACUGCCUCCUGGGUUCAAGUGACUCUCCUGCCUCAGCCUCCCAAGUAGUUGGGACUACAGGCAUGAACCACCAACCCAGCUAAUUUAUAUAUUCUUAGAGACAGGGUUUCAUCAUGGUGGCCAGGACAGUCUUGAUCUCUUGACCUCGUGAUCUGCCUGCCUCAGCCUCCCAAAGUGCUGGGACUACAGGUGAGAGCCACCGUGCCCGGCCUCUUGCAUUUACGUUCACAAUAAAGUGGUUUGGAAUAUCCCACUGUUGAUUUGCAAUUUCCUCCUCUAAACUUGGUCUGUGGCGUUGUAUACAUAAUUAAAUAUUUUCCUGUAUUGAUAUUUUGUGUCUGAAGAUGAAAGAUUCGAUGAAACAUGUUAAAACAGUUUGUGCAAAGCCUUUGGUGGUUGUGAGCCUACUCUUUGGUGAAUGCAUGAAUUAAUCUAUUUUAAAUAUAAAAUUUUUAUUAGAUGUGAUAAUGAUAUUUUCUCUUUUAUCUUCACUUGUUAGAUGAGAAUAAAUAUGGAAUACAUUCUUCCAUAAUCAAUGAUAUUGUAUCUUAUAUUUCAUGUAAAAAUCUUCUAGAAUAUUUGGAAUUGAUAGUUGAAAUUAUACAGCAAAAUGAGAAUUACUGAAACCUAAUGACAAUGUACUUAUGAUGGGUUUAUUAUUAUUAUCUCUAUCAUUGUUAAUUUUUGAAGUUUCCAUGGAAAACUAUACUAUGAACUUAAAAUUUUCUAUAAAACCCUUCGUGCCCUGCACUUCAGCUCCAAUGCAUAAUGAAUAAAGGAAAAUGGAUUCUC